rnacentral:rRNA from 1 species
AUACGGAGGAUCCGAGCGUUAUCCGGAUUUAUUGGGUUUAAAGGGUGCGCAGGCGGCCAUUUAAGUCAGCGGUUAAAUCGUGGGGCUCAACCCCAUUCUGCCGUUGAUACUGGGUGGCUUGAUUGCGGUCGAGGUUGGCGGAAUUCGUUGUGUAGCGGUGAAAUGCAUAGAUAUGACGAAGAACACCGAUUGCGUAGGCAGCUGACCAGACCGCAAAUGACGCUCAUGCACGAAAGUGCGGGGAUCGAACAGGAUUAGAUACCCUGGUAGUCCGCACAGUAAACGAUGAAUACUUGUUUUCGGCGAUAUAAUGUCGGAGGCAAAGCGAAAGUGAUAAGUAUUCCACCUGGGGAGUACGCCGGCAACGGUGAAACUCAAAUGAAUUGACGGGG